rnacentral:rRNA from 1 species
AUACGAAGGGUGCUAGCGUUGUUCGGGAUCACUGGGCGUAAAGCGCGCGUAGGCGGCUUAAUAAGUCAGAGGUGAAAGCCUGGAGCUCAACUCCAGAACUGCCUUUGAAACUGUUAAGCUGGAGUGUCGGAGGGGAUAGCGGAAUUGCUAAUGUAGAGGUGAAAUUCGUAGAUAUUAGCAGGAACACCGGUGGCGAAGGCGGCUAUCUGGACGACAACUGACGCUGAGGCGCGAAAGCGUGGGGAUC